AUCGAACGCUGGCGGCAGGCCUAACACAUGCAAGUCGAACGAACUCUUCGGAGUUAGUGGCGGACGGGUGAGUAACACGUGGGAACGUGCCUUUUGGUUCGGAAUAACUCAGGGAAACUUGUGCUAAUACCGAAUGUGCCCUUCGGGGGAAAGAUUUUUCGCCAUUAGAGCGGCCCGCGUCUGAUUAGCUAGUUGGUGAGGUAACGGCACACCAAGGCGACGAUCAGUAGCUGGUCUGAGAGGAUGACCAGCCACACUGGAACUGAGACACGGCCCAGACUCCUACGGGAGGCAGGAGUGGGGAAUCUUGCGCAAUGGGCGAAAGCAUGACGCAGCCAUGGCGCGUGAAUGAUGAAGGUCUUAGGAUUGUAAAAUUCUUUCACCGGGGACGAUAAUGACGGUACCCGGAGAAGAAGCCCCGGCUAACUUCGUG
rnacentral:rRNA from 1 species